GAUGAACGCUGACAGAAUGCUUAACACAUGCAAGUCGAUGGGGAAGUGGUUCUUGCACCAUGGCAACCAUGGCGGACGGGUGAGUAACGCGUAAGGGACUUACCUGCAGGACUGGGAUAACAGGGGGAAACUCCUUACAAGACCGGAUAAUGUCAUGGAGCUGCAUGGCUUUAUGAUGAAAGGAGACGCCUGCGGAGAGCCUUGCGUCCUAUUAGCUAGUUGGUGAGGUAAUGGCUCACCAAGGCGAAGAUAGGUAGCCGGCCUGAGAGGGUGGACGGCCACAAGGGGACUGAGAUACCGACAUUACUACUACGGGAGGCAGCAGUGGGGAAUAUUGGACAAGGGGGGCAACCAUGAUGCAGCAAUUCGGUGUGCACGAAGAAGGUUUUCGGAUUGUAAAGUGCUUUCAGCAGGGAAGAAGUAAGUGACGGUACCUGCAGAAGAAGCGACGGCUAAAUACGUG
rnacentral:rRNA from 1 species